rnacentral:lncRNA from 1 species
UUUGUCAUUGUUUCUAGCUCAAUACCUGCUUGUGGUUUUCUAAAACAAACUAGUUAAAGGGACAGUAAACUUAAAUCUUGCUCUGCCUCUGAGGAAGUUUUGCCUGUUACGUUAAUGCUCCUACCUCAGCCUGGAAACAGAAGUUAAGACCCUUGUCUUUUCCUACCUGCAUGCUAGCCAAGCCGUUCCAGGGUACUCCUUUUCUGAGUGAUGAGUUGAGGAUCUGCAAGUAAAGAGGAAAUAGAAGACAUUAACCCACCUGUUUGGAGA